rnacentral:rRNA from 1 species
AUUGAACGCUGGCGGCAGGCUUAACACAUGCAAGUCGAGCGGUAACAGGUCUUCGGAUGCUGACGAGCGGCGGACGGGUGAGUAACGCGUAGGAACCUGCCUGAUAGUGGGGGAUAGCCCGGCGAAAGCCGGAUUAAUACCGCAUACGCUCUACGGAGGAAAGGGGGCUUCGGCUCUCGCUAUCAGAGGGGCCUGCGUGGGAUUAGCUAGUUGGUAGGGUAAGGGCCUACCAAGGCGACGAUCCCUAGCUGGUCUGAGAGGAUGAUCAGCCACACUGGGACUGAGACACGGCCCAGACUCCUACGGGAGGCAGCAGUGGGGAAUAUUGGACAAUGGGGGCAACCCUGAUCCAGCCAUGCCGCGUGUGUGAAGAAGGCCUUCGGGUUGUAAAGCACUUUCAGUGGGGAGGAAGGCUUGAUGGCUAAUAUCCAUCAGGAUUGACGUUACCCGCAGAAGAAGCACCGGCUAACUCCGUGCCAGCCGCCGCCGUAACAC